rnacentral:rRNA from 1 species
AUUGAACGCUGGCGGCAUGCCUUACACAUGCAAGUCGAACGGUAACAGGUUAAGCUGACGAGUGGCGAACGGGUGAGUGAUACAUCGGAACGUGCCCAGUAGUGGGGGAUAGCCCGGCGAAAGCCGGAUUAAUACCGCAUACGACCUAAGGGUGAAAGGGGGGGAUCGCAAGACCUCUCGCUAUUGGAGCGGCCGAUGUCAGAUUAGCUAGUUGGUGGGGUAAAAGCUCACCAAGGCGACGAUCUGUAGCUGGUCUGAGAGGACGACCAGCCACACUGGGACUGAGACACGGCCCAGACUCCUACGGGAGGCAGCAGUGGGGAAUUUUGGACAAUGGGCGCAAGCCUGAUCCAGCCAUGCCGCGUGCGGGAAGAAGGCCUUCGGGUUGUAAACCGCUUUUGUCAGGGAAGAAAUCCUUUGGGUUAAUACCUCGGGGGGAUGACGGUACCUGAAGAAUAAGCACCGGCUAACUACGUG